CGCCUGCCCUGUGACAAAAGUUUAACGGCCGCGGUAUUUUGACCGUGCAAAGGUAGCGCAAUCACUUGUCCUUUAAAUGAAGACCUGUAUGAAUGGCAUCACGAGGGCUUAACUGUCUCCUUUUUCCAGUCAAUGAAAUUGAUCUCCCCGUGCAGAAGCGGGGAUAAGACCAUAAGACGAGAAGACCCUAUGAAGCUUUAGACACAAGACAGAUCUUGUUAAACACUUCAAAAUAAAGAAAUAAACUUAAAGACUCCUGUUCCGAUGUCUUUGGUUGGGGCGACCACGGGGAAACAAAAAACCCCCAUGCGGACUGAGAAAACAAUUCUCACAACCAAGAGCCACAGCUCUAGUUAACAGAAUUUCUGACCUUUAGAUCCGGCAAUGCCGAUCAACGGACCGAGUUACUCUAGGGAUAACAGCGCAAUCCCCUCUUAGAGCUCCUAUCGACGAGGGGGUUUACGACCUCGAUGUUGGAUCAGGACAUCCUAAUGGUGCAGCAGCUAUUAAAGGUUCGUUUGUUCAACGAUUAAAGUCCU
rnacentral:rRNA from 1 species